GGAGGACUAAAAAUUGGUGACUGGGCAGUUCCUUGCUGAGGAGAUGGUAUAGUGACAGAGUAUCCAACCGAUGAUUCGGGUCGUUUCGCCAUCAAAAUGGCAUCAAAAGAAAAUCUUUUUGCACGGAUUUUAAACAAGGUAAGAAUCUAGAGGAUUUAGAAAAACCAAAAACCCUCCUAAAAAAUGGCAUCAAAAGAAAAUCUUUUUGCACGGAUUUUAAACAAGGUAAGAAUCUAGAGGAUUAAAAAAAACCAAAACCCUCCUCAAUCACAUCCAAGAUCUCUUCGGAGACUCUAGGUCCAAGAAAAAUUGGAAACAAAUGUCAGAAAAAUCUACAAGAGCUCCACAGUUUAAAAAAAUGAGGAUAACACCUUAAAACCAGAGAAGGAAUAUGAAUAAUGCAAUAUAUCCAAGAAUUCAGUUGAUCAUAACAUGCACCAAAAGAAACAGUAAAGAUGUAAAUUUUAUCAGAAUUUACCGCAAACCCAAGUUGGAAUUUACCCAAAUGAGGUCUUCUCUCCGGGAUGAUAAAUCUAUCUAAUCAAGAAAAAGAACAGAAUUAUGGAGUCGGACCAGAUUGGUAAAAGGGGACAGUCUUGAAAAUUUCGUGGGUAAUUACAUUUUUAGUAGAGAAAUUGACAUACCUGAUUUCCAAUUGAUGCUGCGAUUUGGUAUCAACAAACUGAAAAUUGAUUUUUCGAGAGUUCCCCAGAGACGGGGGAAAGUAACCGGCAGCUGCUCUCUCUCUCUCUCUCUCUCUCAGCACUUGUUCCCC
rnacentral:lncRNA from 1 species